rnacentral:lncRNA from 1 species
GAGGUCAUCGAAGCUUGGUACAUGGAUGACAGUGAAGAGGACCAGAGGCUUCCUCAUCAUCGUGAGCCCAAAGAAUUCAUUCCUCUUAGCAAACUUUCAGGUUUGUGCAUCUAUUGCUCAAACAAUAUGUUUAGCUUUUGUAACUAACUCUUAGUAGAACUAGUGCCAAAUUGCCAAAAAACUUGCCAGAUGUUAAUGUGGUGCACAAUUGAUACACCAGAGUUAGGAAUAUUAAGCUGGCGCCUGAAUGCUGAUGACUGGGAGAAUGAUGAGAACCUCAAGAAAAUCCGUGAGGCCAGGGGAUACUCUUACAUGGUUUGCAUUUCAGAACUUGUUGUGAGUUUCCAUUUUUUUUGUUCGCAAGGUUAAUAUGCUUUUCCUUGUGCAGGAUAUUUGUGAUGUGUGUCCAGAAAAGCUGCCAAACUAUGAGGCUAAGCUGAAAAAUUUCUUUGAAGAACACUUGCAUACUGAUGAAGAGAUACGCUAUUGUCUUGAGGGAAGUGGUAUGCAUCUUUAUUAUACUAGUUGAGCACUUGAUAACUAGUAAUAACUUGCUUCCAGCAAUAAUCAUGGUGGC